UGGCGGCAUGCUUUACACAUGCAAGUCGAACGGGCUUGGGGGCUUGCUCCCAAGUUAGUGGCGAACGGGUGAGUAAUACAUCGGAACGUACCGUGUAGUGGGGAUAACGUAGCGAAAGUUACGCUAAUACCGCAUACGAUCCACGGAUGAAAGCAGGGGACCUUCGGGGCCUUGUGCUAUACGAGCGGCCGAUGUCUGAUUAGCUAGUUGGUGAGGUAAAGGCUCACCAAGGCGACGAUCAGUAGCGGGUCUGAGAGGAUGAUCCGCCACACUGGGACUGAGACACGGCCCAGACUCCUACGGGAGGCAGCAGUGGGGAAUUUUGGACAAUGGGCGCAAGCCUGAUCCAGCCAUGCCGCGUGUCUGAAGAAGGCCUUCGGGUUGUAAAGGACUUUUGUCAGGGAGCAAAACUUACUGGUUAAUACCUGGUGAGGUUGAGAGUACCUGAAGAAUAAGCACCGGCUAACUACGUGCCAGCAGCCGCGG
rnacentral:rRNA from 1 species